UCUCUGGGCCGGAUAUCAUCAUAUACUGUAAGUUGGAAUGAGACACUACAGUAUAGAUGAUGUACUACCUUCACCUA
rnacentral:pre_miRNA from 1 species